UUACGUGAUGAUACCUUUUAUAUUCACACUGUACUAGAACUCUGUUCGGUGACUACAAACAUAAAAAAAACUGAUUUAAUGAAUCUGAUU
rnacentral:snoRNA from 1 species